AGCGAACGCUGGCGGCAGGCCUAACACAUGCAAGUCGAGCGCCGUAGCAAUACGGAGCGGCAGACGGGAGAGUAACACGUGGGAACGUGCCCUUUGGUUCGGAACAACCCAGGGAAACUUGGGCUAAUACCGGAUAAGCCCUUACGGGGAAAGAUUUAUCGCCGAAGGAUCGGCCCGCGUCUGAUUAGCUAGUUGGUGGGGUAAUGGCGCACCAAGGCGACGAUCAGUAGCUGGUCUGAGAGGAUGAUCAGCCUCACUGGGACUGAGACACGGCCCAGACUCCUACGGGAGGAAGCAGUGGGGAAUAUUGGACAAUGGGCGCAAGCCUGAUCCAGCCCCGCCGCGUGGGUGAUGAAGGCCCUAGGGUUGUAAAGCCCUUUCGGCGGGGAAGAUAAUGACGGUACCCGCAGAAGAAGCCCCGGCUAACUUCGUGCCAGCCGCCGCAGUAACAC
rnacentral:rRNA from 1 species